rnacentral:rRNA from 1 species
UACGGAGGGCGCAAGCGUUGUUCGGAUUUACUGGGCGUAAAGGGCAGGUAGGCGGUUCGUCAAGUCUUCUGUGAAACUCCGGGGCUCAACCCCGGACAUGCAGAAGAUACUGGCAGACUAGAGACCGGUAGAGGCAAGCGGAAUUCCUGGUGUAGCGGUGGAAUGCGUAGAUAUCAGGAAGAACACCGGUGGCGAAGGCGGCUUGCUGGGCCGGGUCUGACGCUGAACUGCGAAAGCGUGGGGAGCAAACAGG